UACGUAGGAGGCGAGCGUUGUCCGGAUUUACUGGGCGUAAAGGGCGCGCAGGCGGCACUUCAAGUACGGUGUGAAAUCUCCCGGCUUAACUGGGAGGGUGCAGCGGAAACUAGAAUGCUAGAGGGUGGGAGAGGUAAGCGGAAUUCCUGGUGUAGCGGUGAAAUGCGUAGAUAUCAGGAGGAACACCUGUGGUGUAGACAGCUUACUGGACCACUUCUGACGCUGAGACACGAAAGCGUGGGUAGCAAACAGG
rnacentral:rRNA from 1 species